rnacentral:lncRNA from 1 species
CAGAAAAGAGAGUUUACAUCUAUUUUAAAACACCAGAUCAAUAUUCCCUGUUCUGUAAGAGCAAUGGCCAGGUCAGAGAACAUCCCUCUGGAGGAGGAGAUGGUGAUCAUCCUGGACCAAUGCGGGCCAGAUCUGACAUAUGUCCUGCAUAGCAAGUUUGGAUGUACUGCUGUGCUCCAUGGUGUUGAUGCCGGUGCAGGUGCCAUGAAGUUCAAGAAGCCAGUAUUUAAGCACAAAACGGUCCAUUCCGACUCCAGAGAUGCAAGGAAAGGUUUUCAACCGUUUAUCGAGCUCUGCGGUGCCUAUCAUGAGACAUUGAGGGAGGCCAGACGCUGGUAUUUGGAUGUUUUGUACCCUGCCUCGAAGAAUGUAAUCACCAUUCACAACAAUUUCAUCCAGCACUUUGGCCAGAGGGAGUUUGAAGAGCUUCUUUCCCUUCAGACCAAGAGGGAAGUUUCCAUCGAGGAGAACUUUAAAGAUGGCCGCUUUGGAUUGACCAUCCAGGGGGCUUCUAUAAAGCUGCUGUGUUAGAGGUGGAAGCCCUGUGCUGCAAAGUCCAAGAGGACUUUGCAAAAGAAGAGUUGAGUUUAAUAGGCCUGCAAUCUCUCAUCAGUUCCCCAAGGAAGCCUGUAGAUGACAACAGUUCUGACUAUAAAGAGAGACAGCAACAUUUUCCCGGACUUCAAAUUGUCAGGGUUGAGAAGGUGGAGAACAAAGCUCUGAAGCAGGUCUUUGACCUUAGGAAAAGGCAGUUGCAGGUGUCUACCUCUUCUCAGCGAAUGUACCAGCGCUUGCCUGUGCAAUUCUGUGACCUGCUCAGCAGAGUGGGCUUUCAGAUGGAGUUUGCACCACCUGAUGGUAAGAGAGAUUCAGAUGGAGUUUAC